rnacentral:rRNA from 1 species
UACAGAGGGUGCUAGCGUUGUUCGGAAUUACUGGGCGUAAAGGGCUCGUAGGCGGCCAACUAAGUCAGACGUGAAAUCCCUCGGCUUAACCGGGGAACUGCAUCUGAUACUGGAUGGCUUGAGAUUGGGAGAGGGAUGCGGAAUUCCAGGUGUAGCGGUGAAAUGCGUAGAUAUCUGGAGGAACACCGGUGGCGAAGGCGGCAUCCUGGACCAACACUGACGCUGAGGAGCGAAAGCCAGGGGAGCAAACGGG